rnacentral:rRNA from 1 species
CCUACGGGUGGCAGCAGUGGGGAAUAUUGCACAAUGGGGGAAACCCUGAUGCAGCGACGCCGCGUGAGUGAAGAAGUAUUUCGGUAUGUAAAGCUCUAUCAGCAGGGAAGAAAAUGACGGUACCUGAUUAAGAAGCCCCGGCUAACUACGUGCCAGCAGCCGCGGUAAUACGGAGGAUGCGAGCGUUAUCCGGAUUUAUGGGGUUAAAGGGGUGCGCAGGCGGUCUGUUAAGUCAGCGGUCAAAGCCCGGGGCUCAACCCCGGCCCGCCGUUGAAACUGGCAGUCUCGAGUUGGAGAGAAGUAUGCGGAAUGCGCGGUGUAGCGGUGAAAUGCAUAGAUAUCGCGAAGAACUCCGAUUGCGAAGGCAGCAUGCCGGCUCCACACUGACGCUGAGGCACGAAAGCGUGGGUAUCUAACAGGAUUAGAUACCCGUGUAGUC